rnacentral:rRNA from 1 species
GAACGCUGGCGGCGUGCUUAACACAUGCAAGUCGAACGGAGAUUCAGCAAUGGAUCUUAGUGGCGAACGGGUGAGUAACGCGUAGGCAAUCUACCUUCUAGAUGGGGACAACAUCCCGAAAGGGGUGCUAAUACCGAAUGUUGUACCGUUUCCGCAUGGAGAUGAUACUAAAGGUGGCCUCUGAAUAUGCUACCGCUAGAAGAUGAGCCUGCGUCUGAUUAGCUAGUUGGAGGGGUAACGGCCCACCAAGGCUUCGAUCAGUAGCCGGUCUGAGAGGAUGAACGGCCACACUGGGACUGAGACACGGCCCAGACUCCUACGGGAGGCAGCAGUGGGGAAUCUUCCGCAAUGGACGAAAGUCUGACGGAGCAACGCCGCGUGAGUGAAGAAGGUUUUCGGAUCGUAAAGCUCUUUCGUUAGGGACGAACGUGCUCUUUGUGAAUAAUGAGGAGUAAUGACGGUACCUAAAUAAGAAGCCACGGCUAACUACGUGCCAGCAGCGGC